rnacentral:rRNA from 1 species
AACGAACGCUGGCGGCAUGCCUAACACAUGCAAGUCGAACGAGACCUUCGGGUCUAGUGGCGCACGGGUGCGUAACGCGUGGGAACCUGCCCUUAGGUUCGGAAUAACUCCCCGAAAGGGGUGCUAAUACCGGAUAAUGUCUUCGGACCAAAGAUUUAUCGCCUUUGGUUGGGCCCGCGUUGGAUUAGCUAGUUGGUAGGGUAAAGCCUACCAAGGCGACGAUCCAUAGCUGGUCUGAGAGGAUGAUCAGCCACGCUGGGACUGAGACACGGCCCAGACUCCUACGGGAGGCAGGAGUGGGGAAGAUUGGACAGUGGGCGAAAGCCUGAUCGAGCAAUGCCGCGUGAGUGAUGAAGGCAUGAGGGUUGUAAAGCGCUUUUACCCGGGAUGAUAAUGACAGUACCGGGAGAAUAAGCUCCGGCUAACUCCGUG